rnacentral:rRNA from 1 species
CUUGUCUCAAAGCUUAAGCCAUGCAAGUAUCAGUACAAACUGAACUAAAGUGAAACCGCCAAAAGCUCAGUAAAUCAGUUCUCAUUUCACGAGAUAAAGAAUUACAAAAUGAAUAACCACGGUAAUUCUGGAGCUAAUACAUGCAACACAAAAAUAUUUCUCAUGCGAAUGGGAAAAAAAUGCUCUUAUUGUUCCACAAGACCAAUCGCCCAUCAAAGGGCAUCGAUCUACACUCUAAAUAAUUCAAAUAGAUCGGACGAUCUAAUCGGCGCUAUACCUUUUCAAAUGCCUAAUUUAUUAAACUUACGAUGGUACACUUUGUGUCCACCAUGGCCCUCAUGGGUAACGGAGAAUUGGGGUUCCACUCCGGAGAGGGAGCCUGAGAAACGGCUACCACAUCCAAGGAAGGCAGCAGGCACGCAAAUUACCCAAUCCCGGCACGGGGAGGUGGUGACAAUAAAUACCAAUACGGGACUCUUCUGAGGCCCCGUAAUUGGAAUGAGUGCACAUUAAACCCUUGAACAAGGAUCCAUUGGAGGGAAAGUCUGGUGCCAGCAGCCGCGGUAAAUCCAGCUCCAAUAGCGUAUAUUAAAUUUGCUGCGGUUAAAAAGCUCGUAGUUGGUACUACUACAUUACUGCAACACUGUUGGUUCGCCGCCUGUUGGUGUGUGUUACUGGCAUGCUGUUGCUUGACCUGUCGGCUGAAAUAGAAACGGGAAACCUUUCAUGAAUGGUGUUGCGUUGAGGGGAGCCGACGUUUUGGAUUAAUCUUUUAAUCUAGCGCCGUCCUCCAGCCGGGCCUGUGUGGUUGUUGUUUACCCGAUUAUUCAUCCCAUUCUUUCGUGAGCUCUUGACUGAGUUUCGAUUGGUAUGGGGCCGACACGUCGACACUUUGAACAAAUUAGAGUGCUCAAAGCAAGCUCAAAUUUCUGCCUGAAUAAUGGUGCAUAGAAUAAGAGAAAAGGACCUUGUUCGUUCUAUUCUGUUGGUCUCCGGAACACAGGGUAAUGAUCAAUAAGGACUGUCGGGGGCAAUCGUAUUGCGGCGUUAGAGGUGAAAUUCUUGGAUCGUCGCAAGACGCUCAAAAGCGAAAGCAAUUGCCAAGUAUGUCUUAAUUGAUCAAGAACGAAAGUUAGAGGUUCGAAGGCGAUCAGAUACCGCCCUAGUUCUAACCAUAAACGAUGCCAGCCAGCGAUCCGCCGAUGUUCUUUCUUUAUGAUGACUCGUGCGGGAAGCUCCUCCCCGGGAAACCAAAGCUUUCGGGUUCUGGGGGGAGUAUGGUUGCAAAGCUGAAACUUAAAGGAAUUGACGGAAGGGCACCACCAGGAGUGGAGCCUGCGGCUUAAUUUGACUCAACACGGGAAACCUCACCAGGUCAGGACAUUGAAAGGAUUGACAGAUUGAUGGCUCUUUCUCGAUUCUGUGGGUAGUGGUGCAUGGCCGUUCUUAGUUGGUGGAACGAUUUGUCUGGUUAAUUCUGAUAACGAACGAGACUCUAGCCUAUUAACUAGGCAGUUACGGUAUUGUGAGCUACCGGUGAUAAUAUAUUCUUCUUAAAGGGACAGGCGGCUUAUAGCUGCACGAGAUUGAGCAAUAACAGGUCAGUGAUGCCCUUAGAUGUCCUGGGCCGCACGCGUGCUACACUGAAAGAAUCAGCGUGUGUCUCCUAGGCUGAGAGGCCCGGGUAACCAGCUGAACCUCUUUCGUGCUAGGAAUUGGGGCUUGCAAUUGUUGCCCAUGAACGAGGAAUUCCCAGUAAGCGUGAGUCAUAAGCUUGCGUUGAUUACGUCCCUGCCCUUUGUACACACCGCCCGUCGCUACUACCGAUUGAAUGAUCUAGUGAGGUUCUCGGACUGGCGCUAAUCUUUGCUUGAUAUUUACUAUCGGUAUCGAUGAACGUUGGAAAGAUGACCGAAUUUGAUCAUUUAGAGGAAGUAAAAGUCGUAACAAGGUUUCC